rnacentral:lncRNA from 1 species
UUUACUUCUUAGAACAUACACAUCUUCCCAUAUUAGCCAAGAAUUUUAUUUUAUUGUACUAGUUAAAUUACGUGUUUAUUAUUUUAUAAAUAUAAUAAUAUAUAAUCAAAUUUAUUUUAUCGUACUAUUAAAUUACUAUAAUUUUUUCAUUUAUUUUUUCCUGAUUUAAAUGAUUUUAAUUUUUCACUUUUUCUUUUCUUUUCUUAAAGAUUUACUUUGCGAU